UGGACCCUGGACCCUACCUACUCUUAU
rnacentral:piRNA from 1 species